rnacentral:rRNA from 1 species
GAUCAACGCUGGCGGCGUGCCUAACACAUGCAAGUCGAGCGAGAAAGGGGCUUCGGCCCUGAGUAAAGCGGCGCACGGGUGAGUAACACGUGGGUAAUCUGCCCUCGAGUGGGGGAUAACACCGGGAAACCGGAGCUAAUACCGCAUACGAUCACGAUGCUCCCGUCUGUUGUGAUGAAAGGAGCAAUUCGCUCUUGGAGGAGCCCGCGGCUGAUUAGCUAGGUGGUGAGGUAAUGGCUCACCAAGGAAACGAUCGGUAGCCGGGCUGAGAGGACGGUCGGCCACACUGGAACUGAGACACGGUCCAGACUCCUACGGGAGGCAGCAGUGGGGAAUUUGUCGCAAUGGGGGCAACCCUGACGAAGCAACGCCGCGUGGAUGAUGAAGUCUCUUGGGACGUAAAAUCCUUUCGACAGGGAAGAAACCGCAAGGUUGACGGUACCUGUAGAAGAAGCCCCGGCUAACUCCGUGCCAGCAGCCGCCGUAA